rnacentral:rRNA from 1 species
GACGAACGCUGGCGGCGUGCUUAACACAUGCAAGUCGAACGGAAAGGCCCUGCUUUUGUGGGGUGCUCGAGUGGCGAACGGGUGAGUAACACGUGAGUAACCUGCCCUUGACUUUGGGAUAACUUCAGGAAACUGGGGCUAAUACCGGAUAGGAGCUCCUGCUGCAUGGUGGGGGUUGGAAAGUUUCGGCGGUUAGGGAUGGACUCGCGGCUUAUCAGCUUGUUGGUGGGGUAGUGGCUUACCAAGGCUUUGACGGGUAGCCGGCCUGAGAGGGUGACCGGCCACAUUGGGACCGAGAUACGGCCCAGACUCCUACGGGAGGCAGCAGUGGGGAAUAUUGCACAAUGGGCGGAAGCCUGAUGCAGCAACGCCGCGUGCGGGAUGACGGCCUUCGGGUUGUAAACCGCUUUCGCCUGUGACGAAGCGUGAGUGACGGUAAUGGGUAAAGAAGCACCGGCUAACUACGUG